GUCUACGGUCAUGCCACUCUGCAUGUGCCUGACCUCGUCAGAUCUCAGAAGCUAAGCAGGGUCGGGCCUGGUUAGUACUUGGAUGGAAGACCACCUAGGAAUACCAGGUGCUGUUGGCA
rnacentral:rRNA from 1 species